CAACCCGCCUCCUGGUGGGUGUACUCUUCUGCGGUCAGGCCAGCAUCAGUUCGAGCGGUCGGAUAAAGGCGCCGGGAAUGUAGCUCCUCUCGGGGAGUGUUAUAGCCCGGCGUGGAAUGCGACCUGCUCGGACUGAGGAUCUCGCUUCGGCUAGGAUGCUGGCGUAAUGGUUGUAAGCGGCCCGUCUUGAAACACGGACCAAGGAGUCUAACAUCUAUGCGAGUGUUUGGGUGUCAAACCCAUGCGCGUAAUGAAAGUGAACGGAGGUGGGAACCCGCAAGGGCGCACCAUCGACCGAUCCUGAUGUCUUCGGAUGGAUUUGAGUAUGAGCAUAGCUGUUGGGACCCGAAAGAUGGUGAACUAUGCCUGAAUAGGGUGAAGUCAGAGGAAACUCUGAUGGAGGCUCGCAGCGGUUCUGACGUGCAAAUCGAUCGUCAAAUUUGGGUAUA
rnacentral:rRNA from 1 species